rnacentral:rRNA from 1 species
CCCUGGUGGCGAGUGGCGAACGGGUGAGUAAUAUAUCGGAACAUGUCCGGAAGUGGGGGAUAACGUACCGAAAGGUACGCUAAUACCGCAUAUGCCCUGAGGGGGAAAGGGGGGGAUCGCAAGACCUCUCGCUUUCGGAGUGGCCGAUAUCGGAUUAGCUAGUUGGUGAGGUAAAGGCUCACCAAGGCGACGAUCCGUAGCUGGUCUGAGAGGACGACCAGCCACACUGGAACUGAGACACGGUCCAGACUCCUGCGGGAGGCAGCAGUGGGGAAUUUUGGACAAUGGGCGCAAGCCUGAUCCAGCCAUGCCGCGUGAGUGAAGAAGGCCUUCGGGUUGUAAAGCUCUUUCAGCCGGAAAGAAAUUGCUUCUAUUAAUACUAGGAGUAGAUGACGGUACCGGAAGAAGAAGCACCGGCUAACUACGUGCCAGCAGCCGCGGUAAUA